AUUGAACGCUGGCGGAAUGCUUUACACAUGCAAGUCGAACGGCAGCACGGACUUCGGUCUGGUGGCGAGUGGCGAACGGGUGAGUAAUGUAUCGGAACGUGCCCAGUCGUGGGGGAUAACGUAGUGAAAAUUACGCUAAUACCGCAUACGAUCUAUGGAUGAAAGCGGGGGAUCGCAAGACCUCGCGCGAUUGGAGCGGCCGAUAUCAGAUUAGGUAGUUGGUGGGGUAAAGGCCCACCAAGCCAACGACCUGUAGCUGGUCUGAGAGGACGACCAGCCACACUGGAACUGAGACACGGUCCAGACUCCUACGGGAGGCAGCAGUGGGGAAGUUUGGACAAUGGGCGAAAGCCUGAUCCAGCCAUUCCGCGUGCAGGAUGAAGGCCCUCGGGUUGUAAACUGCUUUUGUGCAGAACGAAAAGGUUUCUACUAAUACUAGGAGCUCAUGACGGUACUGUAAGAAUAAGCACCGGCUAACUACGUGCCAGCCGCCGCGGUAA
rnacentral:rRNA from 1 species